rnacentral:rRNA from 1 species
UACGUAGGAGGCGAGCGUUGUCCGGAAUUACUGGGCGUAAAGAGCGCGUAGGCGGCGCGGUACGACCGCUGUGAAAGCCCCCAGCUCAACUGGGGGAGGGUCAGCGGUAACGGCCGUGCUAUGAGUGCAGGAGAGGGAAGUGGAACUCCGGGAGUAGCGGUGAAAUGCGUAGAGACCCGGAGGAACACCAGUGGCGAAGGCGGCUUCCUGGUCUGCGACUGACGCUGUGGCGCGAAAAGCUAGGGGGAGCAAACGGGG